rnacentral:sRNA from 1 species
GCACUCUCUACCCAAAGGGGCUCACUUCACGUUUUCCUGACCAAGCUUCCCAUACUUGGGGAUGCCUGCAGCACAAGGAUUGCCUAUCUCACCUCCCUCCUUGAAGUCACCGUAGCCAACCCUGUUGAAGGAGAGCUACCAAUCACAGUUUCUGUUGAUGUGGAACCCAACUUUGUGGCAGUAGGUCUUUAUCAUCUGGCUGUAGGAAUGAAUAAUCGAGCUUGGUUUUAUGUCCUUGGAGAGAAUGCUGUGAAAAAAUUGAAAGAUAUGGAGUAUCUGGGAACAGUAGCCAGUAUUUGCCUUCAUUCUGACUAUGCUGCUGCACUUUUUGAAGGCAAAGUCCAGUUACAUUUGAUAGAAAGCGAAAUCUUGGAUGCUCAAGAAGAACGUGAGACUCGGCUUUUCCCAGCAGUGGAUGAUAAGUGCCGUAUCUUAUGCCACGCCUUAACUAGUGAUUUCCUCAUCUAUGGUACAGAUACUGGUGUCGUUCAGUAUUUCUACAUUGAAGACUGGCAAUUUGUUAAUGAUUAUCGACAUCCUGUCAGUGUGAAAAAGAUUUUUCCCGACCCAAAUGGGACCAGAUUAGUUUUCAUUGAUGAAAAAAGUGAUGGAUUUGUUUACUGUCCAGUUAAUGACGCUACUUAUGAGAUUCCAGAUUUUUCACCAACCGUUAAAGGUGUUCUUUGGGAAAACUGGCCAAUGGAUAAAGGUGUAUUUAUUGCUUAUGAUGAUGAUAAGGUGUACACUUAUGUCUUUCACAAGGACACUAUACAAGGAGCCAAGGUUAUUUUGGCUGGUAGCACCAAAGUUCCUUUUGCUCAUAAACCUUUGCUGCUAUAUAAUGGAGAGUUGACCUGCCAAACACAGAGUGGAAAAGUAAACAACAUCUACCUUAGCACCCAUGGCUUUCUCAGCAACUUAAAAGAUACGGGGCCUGAUGAACUGAGACUAAUGCUGGCACAGAAUUUAAUGCUAAAAAGGUUUUCUGAUGCUUGGGAAAUGUGCAGGAUUCUGAAUGAUGAGGCUGCCUGGAAUGAGUUGGCCAGAGCUUGUCUACAUCACAUGGAAGUGGAGUUUGCAAUCCGUGUUUAUCGGAGAAUUGGAAAUGUUGGCAUAGUGAUGUCCUUGGAACAAAUAAAGGGAAUAGAGGACUACAAUCUUUUGGCAGGACACCUUGCCAUGUUUACCAACGAUUAUAACCUGGCUCAGGACCUGUACCUUGCAUCCAGCUGUCCUAUUGCUGCCCUGGAGAUGAGAAGGGAUUUACAGCAUUGGGACAGUGCUCUACAACUGGCAAAGCAUUUGGCCCCAGACCAGAUACCUUUUAUAUCAAAAGAAUAUGCUGUUCAGCUUGAAUUCGCGGGUGAUUAUGUAAAUGCUUUGGCUCAUUAUGAGAAAGGAAUAACAGGUGAUAAUAAGGAACAUGAUGAAGCUUGUCUGGCUGGAGUGGCCCAGAUGUCCAUAAGAACGGGAGACAUACGUCGAGGGGUUAACCAAGCCCUCAAGCAUCCCAGCAGGGUCCUUAAAAGAGACUGUGGAGCCAUAUUGGAGAAUAUGAAGCAAUUUUCAGAAGCGGCCCAACUGUAUGAGAAAGGUCUCUACUAUGACAAAGCAGCAUCUGUUUAUAUCCGCUCUAAGAAUUGGGCAAAAGUUGGUGAUCUUCUGCCCCACGUUUCUUCUCCUAAGAUCCAUUUGCAGUAUGCCAAAGCCAAGGAAGCAGAUGGAAGAUACAAAGAAGCUGUUGUGGCUUAUGAGAAUGCAAAACAAUGGCAAAGUGUAAUCCGCAUCUAUCUGGAUCACCUCAAUAAUCCUGAAAAAGCUGUCAAUAUUGUUAGAGAGACCCAGUCUCCAGAUGGAGCCAAAAUGGUAGCCAGGUUUUUUCUACAGCUUGGUGACUAUGGAUCUGCCAUCCAGUUUCUUGUCAUGUCCAAAUGUAACAAUGAAGCUUUCACACUGGCUCAGCAACACAACAAAAUGGAAAUCUAUGCAGAUAUUAUUGGUUCUGAAGACACUACUAAUGAAGACUAUCAAAGCAUUGCCUUAUACUUUGAAGGAGAAAAGAGAUAUCUUCAGGCUGGAAAAUUCUUCUUGCUGUGUGGCCAAUAUUCACGAGCACUUAAACACUUCCUGAAAUGCCCAAGCUCGGAAGAUAAUGUGGCAAUAGAAAUGGCAAUUGAAACUGUUGGUCAGGCCAAAGAUGAACUGCUGACCAAUCAGCUGAUAGACCACCUCCUGGGGGAGAACGAUGGCAUGCCUAAGGAUGCCAAGUACCUGUUCCGCUUGUACAUGGCUCUGAAGCAAUACCGAGAAGCUGCCCAGACUGCCAUCAUCAUUGCCAGAGAAGAGCAGUCUGCAGGCAACUACCGGAAUGCACACGAUGUUCUCUUCAGUAUGUAUGCAGAACUGAAAUCCCAGAAGAUCAAAAUUCCCUCCGAGAUGGCCACCAACCUCAUGAUUCUGCACAGCUAUAUACUAGUGAAGAUUCAUGUUAAAAAUGGAGAUCACAUGAAAGGGGCUCGCAUGCUUAUUCGGGUGGCCAACAACAUCAGCAAGUUUCCAUCACACAUCGUACCCAUCCUGACGUCAACUGUGAUUGAGUGUCACAGGGCAGGCCUGAGGAACUCUGCUUUCAGCUUCGCAGCUAUGUUGAUGAGGCCUGAAUACCGCAGCAAAAUAGAUGCCAAAUACAAAAAGAAGAUCGAGGGAAUGGUCAGGUAGGCAGAGACAGCUAUUUCGGCUAUCUAAUCAUAUUUCUCAAAGGUAUUUCCAAAAAUGUAGCUGCCAAUGUGCAGGCUCAGUAAGAAAACGGUGGGGGGCCAGGUGCAGUGGCUCACGCCUAUAAUCCCAACACUUUGGAAGGCUGAGGUGGACGAAUCACUUGAGGUCAGUAGUUCAAGACCAGCCUGGCCAAUAUGAUGAAACCCUAUCUCUACUAAAAAUACAAAAAUUGGCUGGGCGUGGUGGCACACACCUGUAGUCCCAGCUACUCAGGAGGCUGGGGCAGGAGAAUUGCUUGAACCUGGGAGUCGGAGGUUGCAGUGAGCCGAGAUCGUGCCACUGCACUCCAGCCUGGGCAAUUGAGCGAGACUCCAUCUC